rnacentral:misc_RNA from 1 species
CACCACUCAAACUUCUAUUAGUUUGGUCUUGGAUCUCUUGGACUUUCGAGUCCAUGAUCUCAAAAUCAUUGGCGGCGCAACAUGAAUCCCAAGCGUAGUGACACUAUUUUUGCUUCGAGGAUUGGUGGGGCGAUAGCCAACAAUCCGUGAUGGGUCGUACUUCAGUGCUCCCUUCACACACUUUCUCCA